UAGGAAGGGGGCUAGCGUUGUUCGGAAUUACUGGGCGUAAAGCGCACGUAGGCGGGUUUGUAAGUAGGGGGUGAAAUCCCCGGGCUCAACCCGGGAACUGCCUUCUAGACUGCAAGCCUGGAGGUCAGGAGAGGCGAGUGGAAUUCCGAGUGUAGAGGUGAAAUUCGUAGAUAUUCGGAGGAACACCAGUGGCGAAGGCGACUCGCUGGACUGAUACUGACGCUGAGGUGCGAAAGCGUGGGGAGCAAACAGG
rnacentral:rRNA from 1 species